UAAUAAAAGUGUUUUAUGGCACUUUUAAAACAAUCCAUAUCCACCUUGUGUGCAAUUUUUUUCCCAUUUUCAACUCAUUUUUUUAAUUUAUUUUGUCUGAAAUAUAUUAUGAAUACUUAAUUCAAAAAUA
rnacentral:misc_RNA from 1 species